rnacentral:rRNA from 1 species
GAUGAACGCUGGCGGCGUGCUUAACACAUGCAAGUCGAACGGAAAGGCCCAAGCUUGCUUGGGUACUCGAGUGGCGAACGGGUGAGUAACACGUGGGUGAUCUGCCCUGCACUUCGGGAUAAGCCGGGGAAACUGGGUCUAAUACCGGAUAGGACGAUGGUUUGGAUGCCAUUGUGGAAAGUUUUUUCGGUGUGGGAUGAGCUCGCGGCCUAUCAGCUUGUUGGUGGGGUAAUGGCCUACCAAGGCGUCGACGGGUAGCCGGCCUGAGAGGGUGUACGGCCACAUUGGGACUGAGAUACGGCCCAGACUCCUACGGGAGGCAGCAGUGGGGAAUAUUGCACAAUGGGCGCAAGCCUGAUGCAGCGACGCCGCGUGGGGGAUGACGGCCUUCGGGUUGUAAACUCCUUUCGCUAGGGACGAAGCGUUUUUGUGACGGUACCUGGAGAAGAAGCACCGGCUAACUACGUG